CAGCCGCCGCGGGAAUACGUAGGUGGCAAGCGUUAUCCGGAACUAUUGGGCGUAAAGCGCGCGUAGGCAGUUUUUUAAGUCUGAUGUGAAAGCCCACGGCUCAACCGUGGAGGGUCAUUGGAAACUGGAAAACUUGAGUGCAGAAGAGGAAAGUGGAAUUCCAUGUGUAGCGGUGAAAUGCGCAGAGAUAUGGAGGAACACCAGUGGCGAAGGCGACUUUCUGGUCUGUAACUGACGCUGAUGUGCGAAAGCGUGGGGAUCAAGCAGGAUUAGAGACCCCCGUAGUCCCUGUCUCUUAUAA
rnacentral:rRNA from 1 species